rnacentral:lncRNA from 1 species
GGUCUUUUUGUCUUUUUAGGGCCAUGCCUGGGCAUAUGGAGGUUCCCAGGUUCCCAGGCUAGGGGCUGAAUCAGAGCUGUAGCUGCCGGCCUAACCACAGCUACAGAAACUCGAGAUCCAAUCCACGUCUGCAACCUGCACCACAGCUCACAGCAACGCCAGAUCCUUAACCAACUGAGUGAGGCCCGGGAUCAAUCCCGUGUCCUCAUGGAUGCUAGUCGGGUUUGUUAACUGCUGAGCCAUGACAGGAAGUCCUGUAGAGUCACUCUUUAAGAAACCUAGAGAGAUAGGUUCCCUAGUUACAUAUUCUCUAAGAACCUGCGAUCUUUCUUUUUACCCCAUCUAAUUAUAGCUACUUGGCUACUGAUCUUGACUUUUUUUUAAUGUUUUCAUCCUCCACUAGACAGCUACACGGCAUCAAGAACUCUGUGUAAUUCUCAAGUGCCUAAGACUUAGCAGCUAUUAGGUACUUAAUAGAUAGGGUGAAUGAACUGAAAAAGGUUACAAGUUUGGGGUCAGCCAUGGGAAUGAGGAUCAAGUGAUUCUUUGCUCACAGAGCAACAAAGCCAAAAACAAAAUUACAGGUGAACUCUGACAACACAGCAAACCAAAGGAGGAAGGACUGGACCUUGGGGUGUUGGCAACUGUUUCCUAUCUCCACUCUUCAGUGGUUUUGGGACGGUGUCACCCAUGGAACACAAAGCUCUGUGCAACAGGCAGAAGGAGGCAGUCUAGAAGCCGGCUGCUUGGGCUGUACAAGCACAGCACACCAAAAGUCAGCAUAGUUUGUCAGCAGGAGUCUUAUUCCCUGAGUCCCUAGAGAGUGAGACACUCUAUUUUAUUUUUUUUUUUUCCGCUCAAACAGCCACAGUUGCAGGAUAUGGAAGUUCCCAGGCCAGGGGUCAAAGCAGGGCUGCAGCUGAGGCCUACGCCACAGCCAGAGCAACACCAGAUCCAAGCUGCAUCUGCGACCUACACCAGAGCUUGUGGCAACACCAGAUCCUUAACCCACUGAGCAAGGUCAUGGAUCAAACCAGCAACCUCAUAGAGACAAUGUCAGAUCCUUAACCUGCUGAGCCACAAGAACUCCAAACUCAUUUUUUUAAAAAACUGUUUCCAGCUAACUCUGGAAAACUAGAAAGGUUCCAGGAAUCCAAAAGUCUGUAAGAAGGUUUAAAGGGGGCAGAGCAUGUGCUGAUUCUUUAACAGCAUCAUGUAAUAAGCAUGGGAGGAGAUAUUAACUGAUACCUCAGCUUAGCAAGUGCCCUGGGAAAUGACUGACGUCCAGAAGAGGUCCUUUCAUUUAUCCCUUCAUGGGUUCCAGCCUACAUGCUGCUCCUACCUACUUACUUAACCAUGUUUGCAUGAUUAAGGCCUUUCCCCACCCAUCCAACUUAAAUAGUGCUAAAAUCUUAAUUAAAAUACACUUUAAAAAAUGAUGAACAACCAAAUUCAGGUGCUGCAUAAUUUAUUUACCUUUAUGCAACUCUUCCCCCAAGGAACUCAAGGCAUUUGGCAAACUUAAAAUUAUCUAACAGAUAUUAAUCUUCACAAAAUUCUCAGGAGAAAGACAAGAAUGUAAGGAACACAAUCAAUAAUAGAUCCCUUAUCUCCACACACAUACACCUUCCUUCCACAAAUCCAAGUGUGCACCCUGUCUCUCUGAGCCUCUAAACUAAUUCAGAAAAUUAUAAGAUUUUUUUUUAGGAAGCCAUCCCAAACAGAAGAGGAGCUAAUGACUUUUCUACCACACUGUGAAAAAGGUCAGUAAAUCUCUUCUAGUCUGCAAUAGGAAAAAAAAAAAAAAAAAUCCUAUCCUACUCCAAAGUUAAAUUUUCCAGACCAACUUAAAACGCAAUUUGUGCUUUAAAAAAAGUUACUGAGGGAGUUCCCACUGUGGCUCAGUGGGUUAAGGACAUGAUGUUGUCUCUGUAAGGAUGAAGGUUAGAUCCCUGGCCUUGCUCAGUGGGUUAUGGAUCCAGCACGGCUGCAAGCUACAGCACAGGUCGCAGAUGCGGCUCGGAUCCAGUGUUGCCAUGGCUGUGGUAUAUGCCUCAUCUGCAGCUCUGAUUCACCCCCUGGCCCAGGAACUUCCAUAUGCUGCAGGUGCAGCCCUAAGAAGAAAAAGAGAAGUUACUGAAUUCUAAUACUCAUGUUGCUCCCACUAUCUCUGAGCUAACCCCUCAGAGGAGAAUCUGUAUUGUAAACAAAACAUCUCAGGAUUUCCAGGGCCUUCAAAGGUAUAUGGUAAGGAUUUAUUUCCUAAGUUAGGUAAUGAGUAUGAUUUGGGGGCUUAUUUUUCUUCUUUAAGAAAAAAUACAUAUAUAUGGUUUAAAGAAGAAAAAUAUGUAUUUUAUAUAUUUAUUUAUAUGUUUACACACACACACACACACGUACUUGCUCUAGAGCUCCUAAUGAACUCUGUGCAGGCAGGACGGGAACCAUGCUUUGGGAACCUAUGCAGGCUGCAUCAGAACCUCCUGGGUGCUUUUAAAAUAGAAUCUUAUUAUGGAUUGAACUGUGUCCCCUGAAAAAAGAUACAGAAGGGGGCAAGAAGGACUCCCCUACAGGUUUCAGAAGGAGCAUGAACCUGCAGACACCUGAUCUCAGACUCCAGUACAGUAAGGGAAUAUAUUUCUAUUGCUUUAAACACCCAGUGUUUAAAAUGGUACUUUGUUAGGCAAUCCCAGUCCUAGAAAACUAAUACAAACCCCUCCUAUGAGUCAUGUUGACAGUAUCUGACCUAAUUUUGAGAAGUCUGCCACAGGUUCUAGAAUCCCAAGAACAUUUGUUCAAGAAAAGACCUCUAAAUAAUUCCAUUGUUGUGAAGAUAAGAAAAAAAAAAAAGAAAAAAAGAAAAAAGAAAAAAGAAAAAAAAACUGGAGAGUUCUCCUUGUGGCUCAACAGGUUAAGAACCCAACAUAGUGUCUAUGAGGAUAUGGGUUUGAUCCCUGGCCUUCCUCAGUGGGUUAAGGAUCUGACAGUGGUGCAAACUGCAGUAUAGGUCACAGAUGCAGCUCAGAACCUGCUAUGGCUGUGGCCCCAGCUGCAGCUCUGAUUUGACUCCUAGCCACAGGGACAGCCGUGUUAAAAAAAAAAAAAAAGAGUUUCAUAAAGAGUCUAAAAUUCUUAUCAUAAACUGUCAUUUGGUAGGGACAGUAUUUUAGGAACGCCUCCUAAAAUAUCUGGAAAAAAUGAGACCCAGUACUUUUUUAAGCAGAGAAGAGAGUUCAGGGACUAACAGGGAGUACGGACAAAGACAGCCUGGCCUCUUGGCUCUGUAAAAGCAGAUAGGAAAUGCCAUUAAACAAAUACUGUUGCCCAAGUAAGUUUUAAAGAAUUUGAAACUAUUCCCGAAAGUCUUGCUUAUUAGCCUCUGUUCCUAUUUUAAAAUUAAAAGGUUCAAGAGAGCCCUGAUCUGUACCUGGUUUGCUGGAACCAUAUUUGCAAAGAGCUAAUAUUUGGAGGAAAGUAAGUGAGGAAAAAGCUAUCUGGUUCUACUAUCCAUCCAUCUGUCCUUUUAAGUGUCUGACUAUAAUCCACAGCAGACAUACUUAGCAAACUUUAAAAUACAGCCUCUCAACAUUGUUACAAUUAAGUCACUCUGAAAUGUCAUGAAAAGCAAUCUAGUCCCAUUAAAAUCUUCACACUCUCAUUAAAAAAGCACUUACAGACUUGAAAAUGUUCCUAAUACAUUAUUUAAAGACACAAGAUGUACAGUGACUAAAAUCCUUGUAUAAGGAAG